rnacentral:rRNA from 1 species
UACGAAGGGGGCGAGCGUUGUUCGGAUUUACUGGGCGUAAAGGGCGCGUAGGCGGCCACCGCAAGUCGACUGUGAAAUCUCCGGGCUUAACCCGGAAAGGUCAGCCGAUACUGCGGGGCUAGAGUGCAGAAGGGGCAACUGGAAUUCUCGGUGUAGCGGUGAAAUGCGUAGAUAUCGAGAGGAACACCUGCGGCGAAGGCGGGUUGCUGGGCUGACACUGACGCUGAGGCGCGAAAGCUAGGGGAGCAAACGGG